rnacentral:rRNA from 1 species
GACGAACGCUGGCGGCGUGCCUAAUACAUGCAAGUAGAACGAGUUGCGAACGGGUGAGUAAUGUCUGGGAAACUGCCCGAUGGAGGGGGAUAACUACUGGAAACGGUAGCUAAUACCGCAUACCAUCGGAUGUGCCCAGAUGGGAUUAGCUAGUAGGUGGGGUAAUGGCUCACCUAGGCGACGAUCCCUAGCUGGUCUGAGAGGAUGACCAGCCACACUGGAACUGAGACACGGUCCAGACUCCUACGGGAGGCAGCAGUGGGGAAUAUUGCACAAUGGGCGCAAGCCUGAUGCAGCCAUGCCGCGUGUAUGAAGAAGGCCUUCGGGUUGUAAAGUACUUUCAGCGAGGAGGCGUUACUCGCAGAAGAAGCACCGGCUAACUCCGUGCCAGCAGCCGCGGUAAUAC